rnacentral:rRNA from 1 species
UACGGAGGGGGCGAGCGUUAUUCGGAAUUAUUGGGCGUAAAGGGCGCGUAGGCGGCCCUGUAAGUCAAAGGUGAAAUCCCUCGGCUCAACUGAGGAACUGCCUUUGAAACUGCAGGGCUUGAGGCCGGGAGGGGGUAGCGGAAUUCCCAAUGUAGCGGUGAAAUGCGUAGAUAUUGGGAGGAACACCAGUGGCGAAGGCGGCUACCUGGACCGGUUCUGACGCUGAGGCGCGAAAGCGUGGGUAGCAGACAGG